AGAGUUGCAGUGCAGCAGCUGGGCGCGAGUCGUGUUGGCCGGCACACGACGGUCAGUGUGUGCAGGGACUUCACAAUGGCUAGGGUACUGCUCAGCACCGUGCGCUCCUAUACUCUCAAACUCUCCGCAUUGCAGCUUCCAAGGAGCACCUGUGUCUGGAAGAACACUGCCAAACAUUUCAGCACCACACACCGCCAGUUGUCAAAUUACAAGUACACAGAGAAGCAUGAGUGGGUGGCUGUUGAUGGCAAUAUUGGCACCAUUGGGAUUACAAAUUAUGCUCAGGAAGCUUUGGGAGACAUAGUCUAUGCCCAACUACCAGAGGUGGAGACCCAGUAUGAACAAAUGGAGGAGUGUGGUGCCUUGGAGAGUGUGAAGGCUGCCAGUGAGCUGUAUUGUCCAGUGUCAGGGAAGGUCACUGAGAUCAACACAGCUGUGGAGGACCAGCCGUCACUCAUAAACAAGAGCUGCUAUGAUGAAGGUUGGUUAUUUAAGUUGGAAUUGACAGCUCCAUCAGAAAUUGAUGAACUGAUGGAUGAAGCAGCUUAUGAAAAGUUCUUGAAGGACAGUGAAGAGUAAGAGCAGCAAACAAGCAAGGCACAAGAGCAGCACCUACUACCAAGCCACUGGGCAUGGGGCACUCAUGAUGAUGUUCCUUCUUUUGUCAAAUAUUCACUCAACAUCUUUGAAGUAUCUGCGGGUUUGUUUGAUGUGUAGCUGUGGGAAUGUCUUCAUUUAUCUUUUGGUUAUUUCCAUUCUGCUCUUAUGUGAUCCCAUCAAAGAGAUGCAUUGUAUCAAACAGAUUUCCUGUUGUGGGUAAGGGAAAUCCUGUUUUUUAUGGUUUGUAAAUGUAUAGAAAUUAUGAUGAAAAGAUUAUUUCUGCUUCAUUAUAAUUCAUUUUCUUUUGAUAAAUAUCUACUAGCUACUAAUGCUGCUGGUAUUUCCAUCCUAUUAGAAAAACUGUUACCUUAUUUCUUAUGAGUGACACACUGAAUAAUAGCUAUCUUCAUUUCCUGAAUAUCUAUUUUGCAGUAUGAGUAUGGUCUUUAGCUACAUCAUGUCACAUAGAUGUACAUACUCUGUCAAGUGCAUGCCUUGGUUUGAUGUGCAGGACAAACACAAAAGAGUGAAAUUCAAGCACAUUUGAAUACUCUCAGUACAUAGCAAACACUUGAACAAAUUAAGCAGUGUUGUUCCAAAGGUACAUAAACUUGUGAUUCUCUUCACUCUUACCUACUUGAUCACAUGAGGAAACAUGUGAAUCAUCAUUGUUAUGAAUUGCAGCUCAAAUAAGGUGAGUGGGUUGCCUUAAGCUGUAGUGUACCAUUAUCUUGUUGACCUGCCGUGUAAGGCUCACCUUUGUGUUGUUUGGUGGUGUUGGUGCAAUUUCUGUGUUGAUGGUUUUCAAGUAUAUUAAAAUUUGUAGAGAUUUAAUACAAUUCAACAGGAACUUUUUUUUGUAUAUAAUGGGUUAUUUUGUUUUGUUUUAUUAUAAUUAUUUUUUGCACUAGUUGUUGAUACACUGGAAAUGACAGUGACAACAUUUCAAAAUGUUUUACUGGCAUGUCAGUUGCAUUUAAAUGUUAGUAAUACUCUGUAGCUAGUGCACCUUGCACAUGAAUAAGAAAAGCAGUAAACAUUGAUUGACAGGACAAUGACUUGACAAAUGUGGGCUUUAUUGUGGAAAUGAGAUGUCAUAUUUUUAUGAAUGUGAUAUACAGAUAGGACCCAUUACUGGUGUUAUCUUCAUUGUGGAUCAUUACCAAGAGUUAUCUGAAAUCCUCAAAACAGUGUUACACCACCAUCACAUUCCCUCUUUGUUAUCACAUGGUAGUUAAGCUGUAAUCAUAAUCUACGAAGAUACUCUGCUGCAACAUUUAUUUAAAGGGUUUCUGUAAUUG
rnacentral:misc_RNA from 1 species